rnacentral:misc_RNA from 1 species
AAUUCUCAACUCCAAUCGAUUUGUUUCGACUUCGGAGCUUGGAUUUGGAGCGUGCUGGCGUCGGUCGGCUCCUCUUAAAUGCAUCAGCGGAAUCUAACGUUUCGGAUGUCAGUGUGAUAAUCAUGUUGCGCUGUCUGUCUGAUCCGAAAGCCCGCUCACAAUGGUCUUCGGACAACUUCAUAUCAA